rnacentral:siRNA from 1 species
UGUGAGGCGGUCGAGUCCUGUG